rnacentral:rRNA from 1 species
GAUGAACGCUGGCAGCGUGCCUAAUACAUGCAAGUCGAGCGAACGGACGAGAAGCUUGCUUCUCUGAUGUUAGCGGCGGACGGGUGAGUAACACGUGGAUAACCUACCUAUAAGACUGGGAUAACCUCGGGAAACCGGAGCUAAUACCGGAUGAUAUUUUGAACCGCAUGGUUCAAAAGUGAAAGACGGUCUUGCUGUCACUUAUAGAUGGAUCCGCGCUGCAUUAGCUAGUUGGUAAGGUAACGGCUUACCAAGGCAACGAUGCAUAGCCGACCUGAGAGGGUGAUCGGCCACACUGGAACUGAGACACGGUCCAGACUCCUACGGGAGGCAGCAGUAGGGAAUCUUCCGCAAUGGGCGAAAGCCUGACGGAGCAACGCCGCGUGAGUGAUGAAGGUCUUCGGAUCGUAAAACUCUGUUAUUAGGGAAGAACAUAUGUGUAAGUAACUGUGCACAUCUUGACGGUACCUAAUCAGAAAGCCACGGCUAACUACGUG